CAUUGACUUCUUCUUUGUGGAGGAUGUGCACCAUAUCUUGUUCUGGCUAGGGGAGGUAGAUGAACCAUUCAUACAGUAGAGAUGUCUUCCCACUCUGAUGUAAUUGGUCACCAGGAGCACGGACAGGAAUAUUGACUUCUUCUUUAUGGAGUCCAAACAAUCACAGCUAGCAGGGACAAUCUUGGUAGCCAGCCAACUCCAUAUUCAAGAUGACCCAACUAAUUGAGUGAUCUAUAAGACAGGGACAGUAUGCUGAUGAGAUAGAAUUAUUGCAACAAUGUUUAGCAUCUCCAAAGACAUCUAUCCAUCACCAAGUAGAGGUCCAAGACCAGCCUUAGAUAGAGGAUCUGCAGUCUCCAGUUAAAGAAAGGCUCAUCAUCUCCAAAGACAUCUACCCAUCAACAAGUACAUUGUGUGUCCAAGACCAACCUCAGAAGUAGGAGCUGCACUCUCCA